UACGAGGGGGGCUAGCGUUGUUCGGAAUUACUGGGCGUAAAGCGCACGUAGGCGGCAUGCUAAGUCAGGGGUGAAAUCCCGAGGCUCAACCUCGGAACUGCCUUUGAUACUGGCAAGCUAGAGUGUGGUAGAGGUUGGUGGAACUCCGAGUGUAGAGGUGAAAUUCGUAGAUAUUCGGAAGAACACCAGUGGCGAAGGCGGCCAACUGGACCAUUACUGACGCUGAGGUGCGAAAGCGUGGGGAGCAAACAGG
rnacentral:rRNA from 1 species